rfam:Ictidomys tridecemlineatus contig059591, whole genome shotgun sequence.
UGGGUUUUAGCUCAGUGGUAGAGUGCUCACCUAGCAUGUGGGAGGCCCUGGGUUUGAUCCUCAGUACCACAU